AUGAACGCUGGCGGCGUGCUUAACACAUGCAAGUCGCACGAAGCAUUUAAGACAGAUUACUUCGGUUUGAAGUCUUUUAUGACUGAGUGGCGGACGGGUGAGUAACGCGUGGGUAACCUGCCUCAUACAGGGGGAUAGCAGCUGGAAACGGCUGGUAAUACCGCAUAAGCGCACAGUACCACAUGGUACAGUGUGAAAAACUCCGGUGGUAUGAGAUGGACCCGCGUCUGAUUAGCUUGUUGGCGGGGUAACGGCCCACCAAGGCGACGAUCAGUAGCCGACCUGAGAGGGUGACCGGCCACAGUGGGACUGAGACACGGCCCAGACUCCUACGGGAGGCAGCAGUGGGGAAUAUUGCACAAUGGAGGAAACGCUGAUGCAGCGACGCCGCGUGAGUGAAGAAGUAGUGCGAUAUGUAAAGCUCUAUCAGCAGGGAAGAUAGUGACGGUACCUGACUAAGAAGCUCCGGCUAAAUACGUG
rnacentral:rRNA from 1 species